rnacentral:rRNA from 1 species
UACGUAGGGUGCAAGCGUUAAUCGGAAUUACUGGGCGUAAAGCGUGCGCAGGCGGUGAUGUAAGACAGGUGUGAAAUCCCCGGGCUUAACCUGGGAACUGCAUUUGUGACUGCAUCGCUGGAGUGCGGCAGAGGGGGAUGGAAUUCCGCGUGUAGCAGUGAAAUGCGUAGAUAUGCGGAGGAACACCGAUGGCGAAGGCAAUCCCCUGGGCCUGCACUGACGCUCAUGCACGAAAGCGUGGGGAGAAAACAGG